rnacentral:rRNA from 1 species
CCUCAAAUCAGGUGGGACUACCUGCUGAACUUAAGCAUAUCAAUAAGCAGAGGAAAAGAAACUAACAAGGAUUCCCCUAGUAAUGGCGAAUGAAGAGGGAAAAGCCCAAAUUUGUAAUCUGGCUCUUUCAGAGUCCGAGUUGUAAUUUUAAGAACUGUUUUCAGUGCUGGACCAUGUAUAAGUCUGUUGAAAGGCAGCAUCAUAGAAGGUGAUAAUCCUGUUCAUGAUGUGGACUACCAGUGCAAUAUGAUACAGUCUCUAAGAGUCGAGUUGUUUGGGAAUGCAGCUCAAAGUGGGU